rnacentral:rRNA from 1 species
UACGAAGGGGGCUAGCGUUGUUCGGAAUUACUGGGCGUAAAGCGCACGUAGGCGGAUUUGUAAGUCAGGGGUGAAAUCCCGGGGCUCAACCUCGGAACUGCCUUUGAUACUGCAAAUCUCGAGUCCGGAAGAGGUGAGUGGAAUUCCUAGUGUAGAGGUGAAAUUCGUAGAUAUUAGGAAAAACACCAGUGGCGAAGGCGGCUCACUGGUCCGGUACUGACGCUGAGGUGCGAAAGCGUGGGGGAGCAAACAGG